GGAUUAGAUACCCUGGUAGUCCACGCCCUAAACGAUGCGAACUGGAUGUUGGGUGCAAUUUGGCACGCAGUAUCGAAGCUAACGCGUUAAGUUCGCCGCCUGGGGAGUACGGUCGCAAGACUGAAACUCAAAGGAAUUGACGGGGGCCCGCACAAGCGGUGGAGUAUGUGGUUUAAUUCGAUGCAACGCGAAGAACCUUACCUGGUCUUGACAUCCACGGAACUUUCCAGAGAUGGAUUGGUGCCUUCGGGAACCGUGAGACAGGUGCUGCAUGGCUGUCGUCAGCUCGUGCCG
rnacentral:rRNA from 1 species